rnacentral:rRNA from 1 species
AUACGGAGGGUGCAAGCGUUAUUCGGAAUCACUGGGCGUAAAGGACGCGUAGGCGGGUUGGCAAGUCAGAUGUGAAAUCCUACAGCUUAACUGUAGAACUGCAUUUGAAACUGCUAACCUAGAGUAUGGGAGGGGGAGAUGGAAUUAGUGGUGUAGGGGUAAAAUCCGUAGAUAUCACUAGGAAUACCGAAAGCGAAGGCGAUCUCCUGGAACAUAACUGACGCUAAGGCGUGAAGGCGUGGGGAGCAAACAGGAUUAGAUACCCUAGUAGUCC